rnacentral:rRNA from 1 species
UACAUAGGUGGCAAGCGUUGUCCGGAAUUACUGGGUGUAAAGCGCGUGUAGGCGGCAGGCCAAGUCUGCGGUGAAAGCGCCCGGCUCAACUGGGCGAGGUCCGUGGAAACUGGUCAGCUGGAGGACGGUAGAGGCGAGUGGAAUUCCCGGUGUAGUGGUGAAAUGCGUAGAGAUCGGGAGGAACACCUGUGGCGAAGGCGGCUCGCUGGGCCGGUCCUGACGCUGAGACGCGAAGGCGUGGGGAGCGAACGGG